CCACGCGUCGUGCGAGUCCAACUACGAUCAUACCGUUGUUUGCGAGAUAUUUCACAAUGGCCGCACCGAUGCCGGAACUGGCGCCGGUGACGACGGCAACGCGAUUGUGCCAACGCUCCAUUUUUGGUUAAAAAAAUGGAAAAUUGAUUGACAAUACGAGUAUAAUGAAUGGGUCUACUAGUAUCAUCAUCAUGCAAUAAAAUUGUCUUCAGGGUUGCCGCUAUCAAAAAAUAAUAAAAGAAAAGGUAUAUUUUAAAAUAGUCACAAAAAAUGCUGGAAUAUAAAGCAGCAACAACGAUAAAAAUCGUAAAUUCGAUUACAAAACAAAGACCGAUUUCGAUAGUAAAUUCGCAUACGAAAGAAAUACCGAUUUUGAUAGCAAAAUUGAUUGUGAAAGCAAAAUAAUAUCGAUAUAAAUCUCAUAAAUCAAUAAUCGAUAUCGAUAACAAUACAAUAAACCGAUUUAAAACCAAUCAUAAUAGUUUUCGAAGUGAUUCCUGCUAAUAAGUAGAGCUUUCCCCACUUUUCAUUACAAAGAUGCUCUCAGGAUAGAAAGGGUCUCUACAAAAAUUACUGAUAGAAUGGAAUCGCUUUAAGCGAAAUUAUUUUCAAAAUUAACAUUUUUCUAAUAAAGAUUAAAUAAAGAAAGAUACCGAAUAAAUUUAAUAAAAAAUAAAUAAAAAUUUCGAUCGAAAAAAUUACAUUGUAGUCGAUAUAAUAUGGAAAAAAGUAGAUCGAUAGAAAAAUUAUUGAAUGCCAUAACUAUAGAAAAUAUUAACGAUUUUUCAACGUAGAACCUCUUUUAAACAAAAAAUGUUAAAACAAAUAAUCGAUUAUUAUAAUAAAGAAAUACAAACUAUUUGUAUUAAAAUAGCUUUAAUAAAACUCUAAAAGAUUGAAUUGAAUUAAAGUAAUCAUUUUACAAAUUAUAAAAGAAAACAUUUUAAUAUAUAUUUAAUAUUAAUAUAUUACAUAAACGGAGUUAGAGGCCAUCGUUUGGUAAAUAAUCGAUAAAAAGUAUUAAUCGUUACUAUCAUAAACAUUUCUGGAAAUAAAAACGGAUUUUAAUAAGAGAGCUUCAGUGAAACGAAACAGGUGGAGUCGAUAAAGCGCGUUAAAAUCUAUCGUUUUGCAGGUAAUGAUAGGUUGACUCGAUUAAUCGAUAAAUAAAUCAAUGUCAUAACUAUUAUUGUUAAUAUUAAACAUGUUUUAUAAACGAGUAAAAAUUAAUGAAAGUCAUGAGAGAUAUGUAUGUAGAGAUAUAAAUGCUAGCUGUGUGGAAUUUUUUUCUUAACGCUUCGCUGAUCAUUAAGCAACAAACGGCAACCUAUAUAUAGUAUCAUAUGAAGCAUGAAAUGCCUGUCAAACAGUUAUUGAAUAAUUGCAAUGGUGAUUUAAUGAAGAAUGGCUUAACAAAAUUGAAUUUGCAUUCAUUUCACUGCAAAUUAAUAGAAUAGAAUAGAAUAUAGAAUAUAGAAAGACAAGUUAAGUUUAGGUACGUGCGUUGUGUACAUUAUCGUUAAAUAACACUGGAUCACAAAUUUGAAUUUGUUUUUUGUUCCACGGAUGCCACUAUCCAUUUUGUAUGUGAAAUGGCUCGCUGAUUUCGAAAAUCGAAUUAUUUUUUUUUUUUCUAUGGAUACGUUUUUGAGAUAUUUGCAAUUUACCGUUAUUCGACCAAAAAAAAAGGUGUCUUCACUUAAUCAUGUAUAUCUCACUGACCAGUUGAGCCAUCUUACUGCAAAUUAUAGAAAAUAAAAGUGAAUGAAAUUUCCUAAAAAUAUUGCCUACUCCAUUUUUCCAUAGGCCUUAUAAUUUCUGAGAAAUUGAUUAAUAACUUCGAGUUUUUAAAUUUUUUUAUGAAAAAAUUAAAAAAAAAAAUAAACUUUGGCAAGAAAAAAAUUUUAAAACAAAAGAUAUUUAUUUCAUAUGAAGUCCUGUUUCUUUAGAAAAAAAAUAAGCUACCAACGAACAAAAUCCAUGGAUAAAUAGGAAAGUUAUACAUGAUCAAAUAAAUAUAUCCAAGUCGCGUAAAGUCAAUGUAUACGUAUAUGCGUAUGUAGUGUGUAAAGUAGGGGUGGGAUUGUUUUCGAAUAUCAUUAGAAUAAACUAAUAACGCUAUUCGUUUAAAAAAAAUUAAAUAAUUUCUUGGCAAAUAUAUCUUGGUAAAUUCAUUAAUUUUUUUAAGGCUAACAUCAACAGCAGGUAGUAUUUUCUUUUCCCGGCUCGUUAAUAUGAAGGAACUUUUUUGUUUAGGUAGGUUUUGUCUUUUUUUAUUUUUUCGCGAUCAAGCUUGAAAGUUCAUAAAUCUGUAAGGCUCGCCGAUUCCAGUUUAUAAUUACAAUAUAAAAAACCGUGAGCUAUUUUUAAAAAUAAAAUGAAUAAACGCGAGAAUUUGAGUGUACCAACGAUCCGGAUAUGUUCUGUUACAUAUGCGGUGAAUAUACUCUUGUACGGCAUCGGAGGCAGUUUAGAGAUUCGAUCCAAUCUAUAUAUUCAAAAUAUUUUGGUAUUGAUCCUAAAAAUAUUGAUAAACCAUGGACUCCGAAUAUUUUGUGUUCCUUGUGUCGAAUAAUAUUGGUUCAAUGGGAAUCAGGAUCAACAAAGCGAUACAUGAAAUUUAAUGUACCAAUAAUAUGGCGAGAACCUACAUGCCACUCAGAAGAUUGUUAUAUUUGUAUGACAAAAGUACUUGGCUUUGGAAAAUCAAGAAAAGUGAUUUAUGCUAACGUACCUACCGUUUCAUUGCCAGUUCCACAUUCAGCUGAAGUUGCGUAUCCAGUUUCGUUGUCAACAGCAGUAUCUGAAGGAUCAUAUGAAUAUGGGAAAUCAAGUUGUAAUGAAUUUUUAAUGGAAAACGAGAGAAACGUUCUAUCACAAGCGCAACUAAACGAUUGGAUUAGAGAUUUGGAAUUAUCCAUGGAAAAAGCUGAGCUACAUGCCUCUCGUAUGCAACAAUUUCAAUUCGUGUCACCCCAUGUUAAGGUGACAUAUUAUAGAAAUCGUCACGAACCAUUUGCCAAACACUAUACGAAAGAAGACAAUGUAUGCUAUUGCAAAGAUAUUCCGGGAUUAUUCAAAGAGUUUGGUCAACCAUAGGAUUCCGAGGAGUGGCGAUUGUUCAUAGACAGCAAUAAACUGAGCUUGAAGGCCGUAUAACUGCAUAAUGGCAACAAAAAGCCCUCGAUCCUGAUCGCGCAGAAGGAUCGAUACCAAGGUUUCUGGGACGUCGGUAUGAUGGGUGACUACUGUUGGUUUCUCAUAAGAGAAACCGAUCCUAAACUAAAUAAACGACAAAACAAAACACAUAAUCAUUUCGGCUAUAAUGUAAGAACAUCAACAAAAAUAACACAUUGUUUUAAUAUAUAUUACUAAUAUAUAAAUAAAUGAGUUUAUAAAAACUAAAAACGACAUGAAAAUUGACUUUUUACUUAACAGAAACAGCGCAUAGCCAGAUAUCCCACCCCUACUUUACACACUACAUACGCAUAUACGUAUACAUUGACUUUGCGCGACUUGGAUAUAUUUAUUUGAUCAUGUAUAACUUUCCUAUUUAUCCAUGAACUUUGUUCGUUGGUAGCUUAUUUUUUUC